CUGGAUCUUCGGAUCCGAUCUACCCCACACACACCUGUGAACCGUUUAUAUGUCUGACGGCUUCGGCCCGAAGGCUACUUUACAAAACAUCUGUAACAAGUCAUGAACGUCAUUAGUUAUAUUUUAACAAAAAUAAAACUUUCAACAACGGAUCUCUUGGCUCCCACAUCGAUGAAGAACGCAGCGAAAUGCGAUAAGUAAUGUGAAUUGCAGAAUCAGUGAAUCAUCGAGUCUUUGAACGCACCUUGCGCCCUUUGGUAUUCCGAAGGGCAUGCCUGUUUGAGUGUCAUGAAAACCUCAAUCCCUCCGGUUUUUUAACGAACCGGUUGGACUUGGAUUUGGGUGUUGCCGCGGCUCGCGCCGUUCGGCUCGCCUUAAAAGUGUUAGUGAGACGGUGGAUAACCUGUCAGCCUGGCGUAAUAAGUUUCGCUGGGCCCUUGGGGUCUUCCUCUUCGGCUUGCUCAUAACAACCAACUUUCUAUGACUCUGACCUCAAAUCAGGUAGGGCUACCCGCUGAACUUAAGCAUAUCAAUAAGCGGAGGAAAAGAAACUAACAAGGAUUCCCCUAGUAACGGCGAGUGAACCGGGAAGAGCUCAAAUUUGAAAUCUGGCGUCCUCAGGGCGUCCGAGUUGUAAUCUAUAGAGGCGUUUUCCGCGCCGGACCGUGUAUAAGUCUCCUGGAACGGAGUAUCAAAGAGGGUGACAAUCCCGUGCUUUACACGACGACCGGUGCUAUGUGAUACGUCUUCUACGAGUCGAGUUGUUUGGGAAUGCAGCUCAAAACGGGUGGUAAACUCCAUCUAAAGCUAAAUAUUGGUGGGAGACCGAUAGCGAACAAGUACCGUGAGGGAAAGAUGAAAAGCACUUUGGAAAGAGAGUUAAACAGUAUGUGAAAUUGUUGAAAGGGAAACGAUUGAAGUCAGUCGUGUCCAUUGGGUUCAGCCGGUCCUGCCGGUCUACUCCCUUUGGACGGGUCAACAUCAGUUCUGACCGGUGGAUAAUGGCACGAGGAACGUAGCACCCUCCGGGGUGUGUUAUAGCCUCGCGUCGCAUACACUGGUCGGGACUGAGGAACGCAGCUCGCCCUCACGGGCCGGGGUUCGCCCACGUCCGAGCUUAGGAUGUGAC
rnacentral:sRNA from 1 species